rnacentral:rRNA from 1 species
CGUAGGGUGCAAGCGUUAAUCGGAAUUACUGGGCGUAAAGCGUGCGCAGGCGGUUAUGCAAGACAGAUGUGAAAUCCCCGGGCUCAACCUGGGAGCUGCAUUUGUGACUGCAUGGCUAGAGUACGGUAGAGGGGGAUGGAAUUCCGCGUGUAGCAGUGAAAUGCGUAGAUAUGCGGAGGAACACCGAUGGCGAAGGCAAUCCCCUGGACCUGUACUGACGCUCAUGCGCGAAAGCGUGGGGAGCAAACAGGAUUAGAUACCCUGGUAGUCCACGCCCUAAACGAUGUCAACUGGUUGUUGGGAGGGUUUCUUCUCAGUAACGUAGCUAACGCGUGAAGUUGACCGCCUGGGGAGUACGGCCGCACGGUUG